GUUGUAUGGUUAAGUGAAUAAGCGUACACGGUGGAUGCCUUGGCAGUCAGAGGCGAUGAAGGACGUACUAACCUGCGAAAAGCUGUGGGAAGCCGGUAAGAGGCGUUAGACCCGCAGAUAUCCGAAUGGGGAAACCCAGCGCAUUUAUGCGUUAUCCCUACAUGAAUACAUAGUGUAGGGAGGCAAACCGGGAGAACUGAAACAUCUAAGUACCCCGAGGAAAAGAAAUCAACCGAGAUUCCGUUAGUAGCGGCGAGCGAACGCGGAGUAGCCCUUAAGUUGUAUUAGUGUUAGUGGAAUGGCCUGGAAAGACCAGCGAUACAGGGUGAUAGCCCCGUACACGACAAUGCUUUUACAGUGAAAACGAGUAGGACGGGACACGUGGUAUCCUGUUUGAAGAUGGGGGGACCAUCCUCCAAGGCUAAAUACUCCUGACUGACCGAUAGUGAACCAGUACCGUGAGGGAAAGGCGAAAAGAACCCCUGUAAGGGGAGUGAAAUAGAACCUGAAACCGUGUACGUACAAGCAGUGGGAGCCCCUUCGUGGGGUGACUGCGUACCUUUUGUAUAAUGGGUCAGCGACUUACAUUCUGUAGCGAGGUUAACCGAAUAGGGGAGCCGUAGGGAAACCGAGUCUUAACUGGGCGAAUAGUUGCAGGGUGUAGACCCGAAACCGGGCGAUCUAUCCAUGAGCAGGUUGAAGGUUGGGUAACACUAACUGGAGGACCGAACCCACAUCUGUUGAAAAAGAUGGGGAUGACUUGUGGAUCGGAGUGAAAGGCUAAUCAAGCUCGGAGAUAUCUGGUUCUCCUCGAAAGCUAUUUAGGUAGCGCCUCGAGCGAAUACCAUUGGGGGUAGAGCACUGUUUGGGCUAGGGGGUCAUCCCGACUUACCAACCCCAUGCAAACUCCGAAUACCAAUGAGUACUACUCGGGAGACACACGGCGGGUGCUAACGUCCGUCGUGAAAAGGGAAACAACCCAGACCGCCAGCUAAGGUCCCAAAGUAAUGAUUAAGUGGAAAACGAUGUGGGAAGGCAUAGACAGCUAGGAGGUUGGCUUAGAAGCAGCCACCCUUUAAAGAAAGCGUAAUAGCUCACUAGUCGAGUCGGCCUGCGCGGAAGAUGUAACGGGGCUAAAUCAUUCACCGAAGCUGCGGACUUGUGCUUGCACAAGUGGUAGAGGAGCGUUCUGUAAGCCUGUGAAGGUUGUCCGGGAGGAUGGCUGGAGGUAUCAGAAGUGCGAAUGCUGACAUGAGUAACGAUAAGGGGAGUGAAAAACUUCCCCGCCGAAAGACCAAGGGUUCCUAUCCCAUGCUAAUCAGGGUAGGGUGAGUCGGCUCCUAAGGCGAGGCUGAAAGGCGUAGUCGAUGGGAAACAGGUUAAUAUUCCUGUACCGGCCAAUACUGCGAUGGGGGGACGGAGAAAGCUAGGCAAGCGCGGCGUUGGUAGUCCGCGUGAAAGUAUGUAGGUUGGUGACUUAGGUAAAUCCGGGUUGCUAAGACUGAGAUACGAGACGAGUGUCCAAGGACACGAAGUUGCUGACGCUAUGCUUCCAGGAAAAGCCUCUAAGCUUCAGGUAUUGGUGACCGUACCCUAAACCGACACAGGUGGUCAGGUAGAGCAUACCAAGGCGCUUGAGAGAACUCGGCUGAAGGAACUAGGCAAAAUAGUACCGUAACUUCGGGAGAAGGUACGCUCUUUGCUGUGAAGGACUUGCUCCGUAAGCAGCGAAGAGUCGCAGUGACCAGCUGGCUGCAACUGUUUAUUAAAAACACAGCACUCUGCAAACUCGUAAGAGGACGUAUAGGGUGUGACACCUGCCCGGUGCCGGAAGGUUAAUUGAUGGGGUUAGCGCAAGCGAAGCUCUUGAUCGAAGCCCCGGUAAACGGCGGCCGUAACUAUAACGGUCCUAAGGUAGCGAAAUUCCUUGUCGGGUAAGUUCCGACCUGCACGAAUGGUGUAAUGAUGGCCAGGCUGUCUCCAGCCGAGACUCAGUGAAAUUGAAAUUGCGGUGAAGAUGCCGUAUACCCGCGGCUAGACGGAAAGACCCCGUGAACCUUUACUAUAGCUUGGCACUGAACAUUGACCCUACAUGUGUAGGAUAGGUGGGAGGCUUUGAAGUUGUGACGCUAGUCACGAUGGAGCCGUCCUUGAAAUACCACCCUUGUAUGUUUGAUGUUCUAACGUAGGUCCCUGAAUCGGGAUUGCGGACAGUGUCUGGUGGGUAGUUUGACUGGGGCGGUCUCCUCCUAAAGAGUAACGGAGGAGCACGAAGGUUGGCUAAGUACGGUCGGACAUCGUACGGUUAGUGUAAUGGUAGAAGCCAGCUUAACUGCGAGACAGACACGUCGAGCAGGUACGAAAGUAGGUCAUAGUGAUCCGGUGGUUCUGUAUGGAAGGGCCAUCGCUCAACGGAUAAAAGGUACUCCGGGGAUAACAGGCUGAUACCGCCCAAGAGUUCAUAUCGACGGCGGUGUUUGGCACCUCGAUGUCGGCUCAUCACAUCCUGGGGCUGAAGUCGGUCCCAAGGGUAUGGCUGUUCGCCAUUUAAAGUGGUACGCGAGCUGGGUUUAGAACGUCGUGAGACAGUUCGGUCCCUAUCUGCCGUGGGCGUUGGAUGAUUGAGUGGAGUUGCUCCUAGUACGAGAGGACCGGAGUGAACGAACCGCUGGUGUUCGGGUUGUCAUGCCAAUGGCAUUGCCCGGUAGCUACGUUCGGAACGGAUAACCGCUGAAAGCAUCUAAGCGGGAAGCCGGCCACAAGAUGAGUCAUCCCUUGGACUUUAAGUCCACUAAAGGGUCGUUGGAGACCACAACGUUGAUAGGUGAGGUGUGGAAGCGCAGUGAUGCGUUAAGCUAACUCAUACUAAUUGCCCGAGAGGCUUAACCAUACAACGCCCAAG
rnacentral:rRNA from 1 species